rnacentral:rRNA from 1 species
GUCUUGUAAUUGGAAUGAUGGGAAUUUAAACCUCUUCCAGAGUAUCAAUUGGAGGGCAAGUCUGGUGCCAGCAGCCGCGGUAAUUCCAGCUCCAAUAGCGUAUAUUAAAAUUGUUGCAGUUAAAAAGCUCGUAGUUGAAUUUCUGCUGCAUCGUCGCAUCUCUUGCUGAGUGCUUCGUUUCGGCUUAUUUCGGAUUGAUUUUUUCUUUCCGGAUGAUUACUUUGAGAAAAUUAGAGUGCUCAAAGCAGGCUUUUGCCUUGAAUAGUUUAGCAUGGAAUAAUAAAGUAGGACUUUGGUUCUAUUUUGUUGGUUUUAGGUACCAAAGUAAUGGUUAAUAGGAACAGUUGGGGGCAUUCGUAUUUAACUGUCAGAGGUGAAAUUCUUAGAUUUGUUAAAGACGAACUACUGCGAAAGCAUUUGCCAAGGAUGUUUUCAUUAAUCAAGAACGAAAGUUAGGGGAUCGAAGACGAUCAGAUACCGUCGUAGUCCUAACCAUAAACUAA